GUGCAUCUUCUUGUUUUUAAGACCUAGCAAUAGGUAUGCUUAGGGAGGAGCUUGCGUCACAUUAGUUAGUUGGUGGGGUAAAGGCCUACCAAGACUAUGAUGUGUAGCCGGGCUGAGAGGUUGAACGGCCACAUUGGGACUGAGACACGGCCCAAACUCCUACGGGAGGCAGCAGUAGGGAAUUUUCGGCAAUGGAGGAAACUCUGACCGAGCAACGCCGCGUGAACGAUGAAGUAUUUCGGUACGUAAAGUUCUUUUAUUAGGGAAGAAUAAAUGAUGGAAAAAUCAUUCUGACGGUACCUAAUGAAUAAGCCCCGGCUAACUAUGUGCCAGCAGCCGCGGUAAUACAUAGGGGGCAAGCGUUAUCCGGAAUUAUUGGGCGUAAAGGGUGCGUAGGCGGUUAAAUAAGUUUAUGGUCUAAGUGCAAUGCUCAACAUUGUGAUGCUAUAAAAACUGUUUAGCUAGAGUAAGAUAGAGGCAAGUGGAAUUCCAUGUGUAGUGGUAAAAUGCGUAAAUAUAUGGAGGAACACCAGUAGCGAAGGCGGCUUGCUGGGUCUUUACUGACGCUGAGGCACGAAAGCGUGGGGAGCAAACAGGAUUAGAUACCCUGGUAGUCCACGCCGUAAACGAUGAGUACUAAACGUUGGGUAAAACCAGUGUUGAAGUUAACACAUUAAGUACUCCGCCUGAGUAGUACGUACGCAAGUAUGAAACUUAAAGGAAUUGACGGGACUCCGCACAAGCGGUGGAUCAUGUUGUUUAAUUCGAAGGUACCCGAAAAACCUCACCAGGUCUUGACAUGCUUCUGCAAAGCUGUAGAAACACAGUGGAGGUUAUCAGUUGCACAGGUGGUGCAUGGUUGUCGUCAGCUCGUGUCGUGAGAUGUUGGGUUAAGUCCCGCAACGAGCGCAACCCUUAUUGUUAGUUACCAGCACGUAAUGGUGGGGACUUUAGCAAGACUGCCAGUGAUGAAUUGGAGGAAGGUGGGGACGACGUCAAAUCAUCAUGCCCCUUAUGACCUGGGCUACAAACGUGAUACAAUGGCUGUUACAAAGUAGCUGA
rnacentral:rRNA from 1 species